UACGUAGGUGGCAAGCGUUGUCCGGAUUUACUGGGCGUAAAGAGCGCGCAGGCGGUCGUUCAAGUCGCGUGUGAAAGCCCCGGCUCAACUGGGGAGGGUCACGCGAUACUGAUCGACUGGAAGGCAGGAGAGGGUAGUGGAAUUCCCGGUGUAGUGGUGAAAUGCGUAGAUAUCGGGAGGAACACCAGUGGCGAAGGCGACUACCUGGCCUGUUCUUGACGCUGAGGCGCGAAAGCUAGGGGAGCAACGGG
rnacentral:rRNA from 1 species